rnacentral:rRNA from 1 species
UACGUAGGGGGCGAGCGUUGUCCGGAUUCAUUGGGCGUAAAGAGCUCGUAGGCGGCUUGGCAAGUCGGGUGUGAAAACUUCAGGCUCAACCUGGAGCGGCCACUCGAUACUGCCAUGGCUUGAGUCCGGUAGGGGACCACGGAAUUCCUGGUGUAGCGGUGAAAUGCGCAGAUAUCAGGAGGAACACCGGUGGCGAAGGCGGUUCUCUGGGCAUGUCCUGACGCUGAGGAGCGAAAGUGUGGGGAGCGAACAGG